rnacentral:rRNA from 1 species
UACAGAGGCCCCAAGCGUUACUGAGAAUCACUGGGCUUAAAGGGUGCGUAGGUGGUCCGUUAAGUUCGUUGUGAAAGCCCUGGGCUCAACCCAGGAACUGCUUCGAAUACUGGCGGACUUGAGGCUAGUAGAGGUCACUGGAACUGACGGUGGAGCGGUGAAAUGCGUAGAUAUCGUCAGGAACGCCAAUGGUGAAGACAGGUGACUGGGCUAGAUCUGACACUGAGGCACGAAAGCGUGGGGAUCAAACGGG